rnacentral:rRNA from 1 species
AGCGCAGGCGGUCUUUUAAGUCUAAUGUGAAAGCCUUCGGCUCAACCGAAGAAGUGCAUUGGAAACUGGGAGACUUGAGUGCAGAAGAGGACAGUGGAACUCCAUGUGUAGCGGUGAAAUGCGUAGAUAUAUGGAAGAACACCAGUGGCGAAGGCGGCUGUCUGGUCUGCAACUGACGCUGAGGCUCGAAAGCAUGGGCAGCGAACA